rnacentral:misc_RNA from 1 species
GAUGUUAUUUGAUUUCACAUCGCGAUGAACAAUCAACGGUGAGCAAUCAUGAUGAAGAUAGCAAAGGCCUUUUGCAGCUUCAACAGCUAUUUUAUACCUUGUAUCCCAGUGCAAAUGGCCUCCUUUCUUGCCAUGAAGAACCUCACCUAAGCUCCCAUUAGGCAUGUACUCAUAGACCAGAAGAUUAGUCUCAUGGUUAGAACAGAACCCCAAUAAUCUAACAAUGUGUCUGUGCCUAAUCCUUCCUAAAGUCUGUAUCUCAGCAUUGAAUCCAUGAUCAUGAGAAGAUCCACGGCUCAUAGCCGGUAGCCUUUUAACAGCAACUUGAUCACCAUU